AACGAACGCUGGCGGCAGGCCUAACACAUGCAAGUCGAGCGCCCUUUCGGGGGAGCGGCGGCCGGGUGAGUAACGCGUGGGAAUAUGCCCUUCUCUACGGAAUAGCCUCGGGAAACUGAGAGUAAUACCGUAUACGCCCUGUGGGGGAAAGAUUUAUCGGGGAAGGAUUAGCCCGCGUUGGAUCAGGUAGUUGGUGGGGUAAUGGCCUACCAAGCCGACGAUCCAUAGCUGGUUUGAGAGGAUGAUCAGCCACACUGGGACUGAGACACGGCCCAGACUCCUACGGGAGGCAGCAGUGGGGAAUCUUAGACAAUGGGGGCAACCCUGAUCUAGCCAUGCCGCGUGAGUGAUGAAGGCCUUAGGGUUGUAAAGCUCUUUCAGCUGGGAAGAUAAUGACGGUACCAGCAGAAGAAGCCCCGGCUAACUCCGUG
rnacentral:rRNA from 1 species